GCUUUCAGCACGAGGCCGCUGAGGUAACGCAGUAGCGGGGCGCGUGCUCCCCCGCGGGACAGGCUUUUUCCUUCUGAAACGUCGUCUGCGUACCUCUGUGAGGCUGCAACUGGACUGAGAGUUGGAUUCCAUUGAAACCAGUGGAAAUGUCUGUGAUACGUAUGCUGAAGCUAUACUUCAAAAUGCCAUCGCUGCAUCUUCAGUGAAGAUGGGAAACAGGAAGCAAAAACUGCAUUUAGAUAUAAUCCAACUGGAACGUUCUGGAUCACAUUCUCCAGCUGCUGUUGAUCACUGUUUCUACCAGUGAGGCAGAUUUUACACUCAAGCAGAAGAGAUUACCCCUGAGCACACUAAUUAGAAGACCAGCUGUUCACAGAACACUUUGAUUUUCCAACUGGAUUGAUCAGCUGUGGUACCUAUUCUGGUGAUCAUGGCUACAAACGCUAGUGUGGGAGGAGAAACAAUAUCAUUCUCACAGCACUGUGGUCUGCAGAGCAUGGAAAAUAUAGUGUGGAAAUGGACAUCAACGUAGAUAAACCCAAUGGCUGCUGAUUUUCCUUCUCUUCAAUAUAGCUGAAGCUGUGAAGUGCUUUAGUCUUGAAAUUGCUAUGGAGUCAGUGCCUUUCUUUAAAAGUGAAAAUUAUUAAUCUGGAUCACAAGAAGGCUUGGAUUUUUGGAACUGGGAUAAUCUCAUGCAACUGAAGAUGUUCAUGAAUUGUUAGGUCACAGCUGGAACCACUGAUGGAGCACCUGGUGAAAGGGUGUAGCCAGCUCUGGGAACACAGGUGGAAGCAAUUCCUCCUAACCGCAUAUAAUGGCUGGCAGCUGGGAAAACUUUCUACUUCGAAAUCAUCUCCUUUGGAGUGUUUGGUGCUUGAUCCUUGGAAUGGGGUGAUGUGACCUCUUAUGCUUCCUUCGUCUGGUGCAGGAGUACAGAGUACUCCUGUCCCACACAGUAAUUCAGAAAUCAGUUGUUCAUAUAAACAGCUUCUGAAUAUUCCAUCUGAACUAUUUUACUGAAAAGGCCGGUGGUUCUCUUUCUCCAGCUGCCUUCAUUACAACUAUCCUUUGGAAGUUCUGCAGUAGAUAUCUUGGUGUUUCUUCCUGCCCUUGGACUUUCCCUGAUCAUUGGAACAGUGCCUGACUCACAUACAUCUUGGUCUAAUGUGUAUAUCCUACCUUUUGCCUAAGAUGAUUCUGAGGGUAAUCUUGGACUCUUCCAGACGUUAUUUUUGUCUUAAUAAAAGAAUUAAAUUCACCUUAACUGUGCUAGUGUUGUGUGAUGAACAUAUUCUUAUUCAUUUCCCCCAUUAUGUCCUUUAUUUUGUGCAAUCUCAUUUUCCUUUUCCUCCUUAACAUGAUUUUUCUCAAGUUCAUGUAACAAUAGGAAUUGAUCAGCAGGACUUCCUCUCAAUAUGUAUGCAGGAGAAUGUUGUCUGUAUGUGUGUGCAUUAAAUUCCUUGUAUUACAGAAGGAAAAGCCUAUUUCUUUCAAAAGUAGCAUCCUUGUAGAAUGUUAUCAAUCCAGUUAAAACAUUAAAUUUUUCAGACUUUAAGCACUCCUUUCAAAAUCCAUUUUAUUCCACUUGUUCUCUUCAGUUAUUCAGGAAGCUUUCGAGAUAUGACUUAGCAAGAAUGCCAUUAGCUGUGAGCUGUCUACUCUUUGUCCCUUCUCUUUCUGGGAUUUUUCACUGCAGCAUUCUGGUGGGGAAUCUGUGGUAAAUGUAACUUCUGGAAAAACUGUCUUAAACAUAUUUAUCCUUAAUUUAAAUAAUUCAUUAAAAGCAAGAUUGGUCUCCUGAGGGAAGUGUACGUACUUUUCCUUUACCACGUAUUUCUGCUUUUUGCUGAAAGCUGUUACAUUUGCUUUUAACUACGCUCAAAUUAUUUUAGUAGAAUUAGGUCCUACAGGCACAUUCUUAAUGUAUUAUAAUAACACUUCCUUAGCCUCAAUUGAUUUGUACAAAAUUGGAUGGAAGACUUUUACUUCUUUGCUGUCUUCAAGUUUAUUUAUCCCAAGAUAAGUUUUUUAAAUACUGAGAGAAACAUGGAAACAACCAUUCAUUUAUCUUCUGGGAUGAUUAGUUUAUCUUCAAGUUGAAGUGCUUUAAUACUGAGCAACUGCAGAGAUUUGUGUGGUACUUUGAUACUGUAAUCAAAGUUAUUCUCUAAAGGCUGAUUAUGAUGAUAAACUUCUCAGAUUGUAGUGAUUCUUGUAAGAAUAGGAGCACCUUGAACUGUGAGAUCUAUGUUGAAAAGUACUCAUUAUAUUGUAAUUGUUGAAGACACAUUUGUUGAUCGUGUUAAAAAUAAAACU